AAAUUUUUACAGGCAUGGCAGGUGCGAGCUCGCAAGUUUUUUUCGAGGGUACAGAGAAACUGCUAGAAGUGUGGUUUAGCAGUGACAGCGAAAGCCCAGAUCUUCGGGAUGUUAAACAAGAAGAAUGGGAGAAAUUGCUGCGGAUUGUUCGAUGUGAGAUCAUUAGCAAAACCAGCAAUGCUGACAUGGAUGCAUAUGUCCUCAGUGAGAGCAGCAUGUUUGUGACAAAGUCUCGCUUUAUUCUGAAGACGUGUGGUCGGACCACCUUAUUGUUGGCGGUAGAACCUCUGAUACAGCUGGUCAAGGAACAGUGUGGAUUCAGCAAAGUCCUGGAUGUGUUCUACUCAAGGAAGAAGUUUGCCAAACCAGAACAACAGCACAGUAUUCAUCAGAGCUUUGAUGAGGAAGUCAGUCACCUAGAUAAGCUGUUCAAAAAUGGGGCAGCGUACACAUUGGGUAGAAUUAACAAGGACUGUUGGUGCACCGAAGACCUACAAGGGCAUCGAGCCAUGUCGCACCUCUGAGCGUGCUCAGAUGCAGCACGGCACCUGUACACCAUGGAUGCUGUAGGAGUUAUGGAACCUGACCAAACAGUGGAACUUCUAAUGUGGGAAAUGUGUCCAGACACCAUGCAGAUAUUUACCAAAAAAGUGUGUAAAGAUGGACCAGAGGCAACCAAGAAAUCAGGAAUUUGUGACAUAAUUCCGGGCGCCCAGAUUGACGACUUCCUGUUUGAUCCAUGUGGGUACUCCAUGAAUGGUCUUCUGCCAGGGGGUUAUUACAUCACUAUCCAUGUCACACCAGAGCCUCACUGUUCCUAUGUCAGCUUUGAGAGUAAUGUUCCACAGGAAAACUACAUGGAACUAAUGGAGAAAGUGUUGAAUACGUUCAAGCCUAGCAAGUUCUUGAUGACUGUUUUUGCAAAUAAGGAGUCUAUUGCUAAAGACAAUCACAAGCAGCUGGAGAACAAGGAACUGGUUCCCGGUUACACACGGGCCGACCACCAGUUCUGUACCUUCAAGAACUACAAUCUGACCUACUCGCACUUCACUCGCCCCAUCAUCUAGGGAAUGGGGGCCGGGGGUGAGGGGCAUGGAUGCUGGUGUACCCUGACCUUACAACCCCCGCUUUCCUGGUUCAAGGCCGUUUGUUUUUCUAAUAUUGUAUUUUUUUUGGCCUUGAACUCUAUCAUAUACAUUGUGUUUCUUUGGAUUUCACAUCGUACUGCUUUGAAAUUUAGACUUAGAUUUUCAUUCUUUUCUCAUAAACCUAGAUAAAUGGCCUUUCAUUCUUGAAACUAAAAGGUUUUUUUCCUUGAGUAGAAUAGAGUUAUGUUUUAAUUUAUUGGGGAUUGUCUAUCAAAAUGUAGACUAAUGGGUGAAUAUAUCUAACACUGCAUGUACAUGAAAAUACAAAGGAAUUUGAAAUUUGGUGGAAAAAGUCUAUACAAAAUGUUGUCAUUCAAUUUUGUUUGUGAUAAAGUUUUAUUUGUGCCAUGUUAUUGUAUCCUGAAUUUUUAAAAGAAGUUUUAUAGUAUUUUAUCUUAGAUUACUUAUAGGAAAUUACAUGUUUGAUACCAGAAAAGACUAUUACUCUAUUUAUGUAUAUUGAUGAAAUUAAGAAUGAUUGAUAUUAAAAUGUUAAAUUAAAACUCAUUAAUGUUUUAUUGUCAUAUCUAAAUAGCAUGCAGAAACAAAAUAAAUUGCUUUUUAGCAGCUUCAUUUGCUUAUAGUGUUGAUUAAUGUUUUAAUACAUGGUUUCGACUUGACAUGUUGUAAUGGAGCCUAGAGCUUUAAAGCUGACACGUACUUUAGUAAUCAUUUAUGGUUUUUUACUUGCAUGCUAAAUGCAAAAUAAACGAAAAUAGAAUAAAUCCAAUCAUUAAAACAAUAGAUAUUAGAUCGUUUUAUAAAUUAAAAUUUGUGGGCGUGGCCUAAUUUGUAGAGCCUAUACAAAGUUGUGAUUUUUGAGAAUUUUGCAACGGCAUGCUUUUUUCAUAUAAUUGCCUGGUAUUUUUUAAAAUGAAUGUUUAAACUGCUAAAUUGUUGUUGUUUUUAAUUGUUUGUGUAUUUAUUAAUUUUGUUGCAUCAUUUUUCAAUGUUUUGAUACAUUGUAUUACUUAAAUAAUUUGAUUCUGAUUAUCAACUGUUCAUUUCAUUAAAAAGAAAUCGAAAACAAGAGUAGGCGGACAUACCAAAGAGAUAGAUUUGUAACAUUUUGAAAAAUCUUUUGAUCAAUUUUUUUCUUUACUCUCUCAUUUCAUUAUUUCCAUAUGACUAAAAUAUUAACCUUCUUUGCUUAUCUUUUACUUAUAAAUUAGCUAGAAAAG
rnacentral:misc_RNA from 1 species